CGGAGGGUGCGAGCGUUGUCCGGAGUCACUGGGCGUAAAGGGCGCGUAGGCGGCCUGGUAAGUAGGGGGUGAAAUCCUGCGGCUUAACCGCAGGGCUGCCUUCUAAACUGUCAGGCUUGAGCACAGUAGAGGCAGGUGGAAUUCCCGGUGUAGCGGUGGAAUGCGUAGAGAUCGGGAAGAACAUCAGUGGCGAAGGCGGCCUGCUGGGCUGUUGCUGACGCUGAGGCGCGACAGCGUGGGGAGCAAACAGGAUUAGAUACCCUGGUAGUCCACGCCGUAAACGAUGGGCACUAGGCGUCGGGGGGAGCGACCCUCCCGGUGCCGUCGCUAACGCAGUAAGUGCCCCGCCUGGGGAGUACGGCCGCAAGGCUG
rnacentral:rRNA from 1 species